rnacentral:tRNA from 1 species
GCGCCCGUAGUGAAACGGAUAUCACUUCGGUCUUCGAAACCGACAGUCCAAGUUCGAGUCUUGGCGGGCGCACUA